GACGAACGCUGGCGGCGUGCCUAACACAUGCAAGUCGAACGGAAAGGCCCCUCUGGGGGUACUCUAGUGGCGAACGCGUGUGUAUCACGCGAGUAACCUGCCCUUGACUUCGGGAUUACUUCAGGAAACUGGGGCUAAUACCGGCUAGGAAUCCGUGCUGCAUGGUGGGGGUUGGAAAGCUUCGGCGGUUUUGGAUGGACCCGCGGCUUAUCAGCUUGUUGGUGGGGUAGUGGCUUACCAAGGCGUCGACGGGUAGCCGGCCUGAGAGGGGGACCGGCCACAGUGCGACUGAGAUAGGGCCCAGACUCGUACGGGAGGCAACAGGGGAAAGUAUUGCACAGUGGGGGGGAGCGUGUUACAGCGGCGCCGCGUGCGUAAUGACCGCCUUCGUGUUGUGAACCGCUUUCAGGAGAGGCGAAGCUUGUGUGGACGGUACCAGCAAAAAAGGCACCGCUAACUUACGU
rnacentral:rRNA from 1 species